GCUUGAUGGUAAGAUUGUGGUUCAUGAAUUGUAGACACAUUUGCUAUGAAAUUCACAUAAUGAUGAUUAUACUCAGGCUGAGAAAUAAAAUGAAGUUUAUGAGGUGAAUUUAUGAUAUCUGUAAUGUCCUUGGAAGUGCUAGCAAGUGGAACAAUAGUAGGACUAUCUUCCUGAACAUGUGUGUCACAAAAUCAUCCAACCAUCUAGGUUUUGUAGUAGGUCUUGUGCCUCUUCCGGAAGGCAUAUUAGGAGUUAUAUGCGGUUGAAUAAUAUCAGAAUGAGAUGUAGUAGAAGGAUCAGUAUUUGUGGUAAUUGAUCUAGUAGUAAUUCUUAUUGUCUCUUCUAACUGUAGAGGAAUAGGUUGAGGAGUGACAGAUUCAUUUUCAAGAAUGGGCAGAGGAAUGACAUUUUCACUUGUU
rnacentral:misc_RNA from 1 species